rnacentral:misc_RNA from 1 species
UCUCCGUUGGUGAACCAGCGGAGGGAUCAUUACUGGAAUCGCAAGAUCCCACAACCCUGUGAACCUACCGAAACGUUGCUUCGGCGGGUGCCCGGCCUCUGCGCCGGGCGCUGCGCCCGCCGGCGGCCCCCUACUCUGUCUCUGCAGCGUGGCAUCUCAGAGUCCCAGAAAACAAGUCAAAACUUUCAACAACGGAUCUCUUGGCUCUA